rnacentral:rRNA from 1 species
CCUACGGGAGGCAGCAGUGAGGAAUAUUGGUCAAUGGACGAGAGUCUGAACCAGCCAAGUAGCGUGAAGGAUGACUGCCCUAUGGGUUGUAAACUUCUUUUAUAUGGGAAUAAAAUGUUCCACGUGUGGGAUUUUGUAUGUACCAUAUGAAUAAGGAUCGGCUAACUCCGUGCCAGCAGCCGCGGUAAUACGGAGGAUCCGAGCGUUAUCCGGAUUUAUUGGGUUUAAAGGGAGCGUAGGGGGAUUGUUAAGUCAGUUGUGAAAUUUUGCGGCUCAACCGUAAAAUUGAAGUUGAAACUGGCAGUCUUGAGUACAGUAGAGGUGGGCGGAAUGCGUGGUGUAGCGGUGAAAUGCUUAGAUAUCACGAAGAACUCCGAUUGCGAAGGCAGCUCACUGGACUGCAACUGACACUGAGGCUCGAAAGUGUGGGUAUCAAACAGGAUUAGAUACCCUAGUAGUC